GUUUAUUCUUUAUGAUUUGCAGCUUCGCCAUUUCUGUGAUGCGUGGUCAAAUUUAGCUAGUGCAUAUAUGAGGAAAGGAAGGCUUAAUGAGGCAGCCCGGUGUUGUCACCAGGCUCUUGCAUUGAACCCUCGCUUGUUUGUCAGAAAAUGCAUAUGUUCUUGUGGUAGAGGUAUUGAAGAAAAUGCAUAUAUUCUGUAGGCAUUAAGCUCCCUUGUUGCUUCACUACUUGAGAAAGAAAAGGAUCUUCAACUUCUCUCUGACUGGUCCAAUUCCUCCUGCUUUGGGUAAGCUUGCAACAGUAAUUUGUUUAUAACUGCAGUUAUUCUGCUUUUGAAGAAGUUCUCCCACAUGCUCCAACAUUGAUGACUGAUGUGUUUGGCAAUUAUGUUAUUUAAAAGUUUUUUUUAUCAUGGAAGCCCUGAGUAGAGAAAAGAACUAGCAAAUCAGCUUACUGGCCACAUUCAACCUUGGAGCCUUCAGAUGUAUGGGUGCCGGGUAAUUCAAAAGGGCCCUACACAAUUCAAUCUGGCUAAUCCACGCUUACACAUGUUGCCCUUUUUAAUGGAAGGUAUGUGCUUGAUUUUAUUUUUAUUAUUAUUUUAGUUGUUGUGGGAUGCAAAUAUGCUCUGCUUGAAUUCAUGAUGGGAGCUGAUUACUUGGG